CUGGACUCCUCCUCCUCUGGAGCAGAAACAGUCACAAGUCCAGACCAGAGAACACGACAGAGACCAGUGAGGAGCAAAACAGAUUUGGGGGGAGAAUGGAGGAUUCUGCUUCGGACGAACAUUCAAAAGUUGAAAGAAAAAGUCUUAGUGGAAAUCACAUUAUUCCAGACUGUUCUCCCCUAGAAAACGACCACUGUGGUCAUUUUGUUUUUCAAGCGAGUUGCACUGAAAAGUUAGAUUUGACCACAGUUUGAUUUAAAAAACAGAACAAAACUAUUUAAAUAGUUUAUGAAACCGAUCAGAAGCCACAAUAUGAACCACAAAAACAAAGCAAACACAAAAAUCUAUGGAAUGGAGAAAACUCUAUGUUGUAAUUUACACAAUGCUUCUCUAGAAACAAAUACACACUUUAUCUUCAUAGUUUACACUCAGUUUAUGGACGUGAUCUGGAGUUUUUUGUUCCUGUGUGCCUCCCGACGGAUUUCUCUGCAAAGCUGUUGCUUCGCUUUAGAAACCGUGAUGCUGGUUGCCGAGGACUCUGACCCCCGACCCAGAAUGCAGUUGAUGUGUGUGACAGACAGGAUUUUUUUACUUGAAAACCUUUGACCUCUCUGUUAAAGGGAUACUUCAACAUUUUGGCAAAUUGGCCCAUUUAGCACAAUUCCUUAGUCAUUUCGAACAGCAUACUUACUUUUUUUG